GGGCCGGUAGCGCAGAGGCAGGCGCACCGCCUUCUCAGGGCGGAUACGUCGGUUCGAAUCCGGCCCGGCCCACCA
rnacentral:tRNA from 1 species